GUGGGGAAUAUUGGACAAUGGGCGAAAGCCUGAUCCAGCCAUGCCGCGUGUGUGAAGAAGGUCUUCGGAUUGUAAAGCACUUUAAGUUGGGAGGAAGGGCAGUAAGUUAAUACCUUGCUGUUUUGACGUUACCGACAGAAUAAGCACCGGCUAACUUCGUGCCAGCAGCCGCGGUAAUACGAAGGGUGCAAGCGUUAAUCGGAAUUACUGGGUGUAAAGCGCGCGUAGGUGGUUUUGUAAGUUGGAGGUGAAAUCCCCGGGCUCAACCUGGGAACUGCCUCCAAAACUGCAUGACUAGAGUACGGUAGAGGGUAGUGGAAUUUCCUGUGUAGCGGUGAAAUGCGUAGAUAUAGGAAGGAACACCAGUGGCGAAGGCGACUACCUGGACUGAUACUGACACUGAGGUGCGAAAGCGUGGGGAGCAAACAGGAUUAGAUACCCCAGUAGUCC
rnacentral:rRNA from 1 species